rnacentral:lncRNA from 1 species
GGAAACCGUUCCCAACUCCUGCCUUUGGUGUCAGCUCGACAGGAUCAUGUGGCUAGACCAUGUGCUCUUGAUCCAGGCCGGGGUCACCAUCAGGGGGAUCUAAUUUCACCUCUCGUACCUGUUCUGCUUUUUGUUUCAGUGUUUCUUUGAAGGGGUGAAAUUCUCUAGGGCUAUGACACCAGAAGUCAGCAAAACUCCUCCUCAAUCAUCAGCCUGGACCAAGUUAUCGACCUGCCUGCAGUGGAAGCCAUAGAGAACGUAUUCUCCCUCAGGUAUUCCGCAAACCUGUGUCCUGCAGAGUGUGGUUGCUGUCCAACAUUUGGAUCCUUCCAGUGGCCCAGGACGGGAAACCAAGGCCCGGGGUCGGAUAGUCCGCAAGAAGCAGAAACAGGAUACCAAAACUGGAUUUUAGGGACUCAUCUGGAAUCCCACUUACCAGGGUCAGCUCUCAAAUACCUGCCGUGUCUCAGGAACACCACCAGCCCACUCACUCACUCCCUCAGGACCCAGUUCAUCUUGCUGAUAUUAUUUAUUCAUUCUAGGAAGAAAAACAAGGAAUGGUGACAGAGAUCAUGCUAAGUGCUCUGCAGAGGCAUCAUAGUCCCUAAAAGAGAUGAGAUGAGGAAAUGAAGGCAAAAAAGAAGGAAGUCACUUACCAUAAGGUUAUUCUGGGUGGAGCCAGGGCUCAAACUCAGGUACCUGUGACCGGCACUUGUGUUCUCCUACUAUGCUGUGUUGCCCACAAAACCCAAGGCCCGCUGAGGGCUGAAACCGAACGUCUGUUCCAAAACAUGUGGCUUCCUUGAAGGAGAGCAGGGCUGAUGAGGUGGCAUGGAAUAGAGGGACACAGGAAGAGACCUAAUGCCCUUGAUGCACCACUCCUCUCCUGCCAGCAAGAUGAACAGCCAUAGAUGGGAGAAAAGCCAAUUUCCCUUUAAAAAGGGAAAGAAAAAAAAAACCAAACCCAGAGAAGUGAGAUUAUUCAUUCACAUUUUUAAAAAAAUACGUUUUGAAAUUUUUAGCAGCAAAAUUAGCUGUUGAGCUAAAUUCUCUCCUCUUUUAGUUAAACUCAAUUAAAGAAAAUACUCUCUAUUAUUUUUCCGUUUUAGCAUUUUCUGCAACAGGGACCACAAUAUCA